rnacentral:rRNA from 1 species
UACGUAGGGGGCUAGCGUUGUCCGGAAUCAUUGGGCGUAAAGAGCGUGUAGGCGGCCCGGUAAGUCCGCUGUGAAAGUCGGGGGCUCAACCCUCGAAUGCCGGUGGAUACUGUCGGGCUAGAGUGCGGAAGAGGCGAGUGGAAUUCCUGGUGUAGCGGUGAAAUGCGCAGAUAUCAGGAGGAACACCAAUUGCGAAGGCAGCUCGCUGGG